GGAGGGGGACGACGUCCCUCCCUAGGAGAAGAGGCUGCGGCUGUUGCUGGAGGGGGAAGCGCACAGCCCGAGGACUGCGAGGACGGGGAGGACGCGCCGCGGCCGGGCAGGGAGGAGACCGGCACCCAGACAGGUGGCGACGGCAGAGGAGCGCAGUGGCUCACACCUGUAAUCCCAGCACUUUGGCAGGUCGAGGCUGGCGGAUCAGCUAAGGUCAGGAGUUCGAGACCAACCUGGCCAACAUGGCAGAACUGUCUCUACUAAAAAUACAGAAAUUAGCCAGGUGUGGUGGCACACACCUGUAAUCCCAGCUGCUUGGGAAGCUGAGGCAGGAGAAUCAUUUGAACCUGGGAGACAGAGGUUGCAGUCAGCCGAGAUUGCACCACUGCACUUCAGCCAGCCUGGGUGACAGAGCGAGACUCUUUCAAAAAUAAAUAAAUAAAUAAAAUAGAA
rnacentral:lncRNA from 1 species